CACAGGUUAAUUCCCUUCCAGUGCCUCUGUGACAACCUCUCCCAACUUUGCAGCUGCUGUGCUGAGCUGAAGCUGAUCCCAGGACUUGGUCCAGCACUGCCCUGUAGGUGAUCUCACAACACCUCUGUUGGCUGUAGCAUCUUCCAAGUACCUGAGUCCACACCUCUGGAGGGAGGUGCUGAUUUAUUGACUCCAAGAGAUGCUUUUUUCCCAAGGGGGUUGUGCCAAAGGACCUCUGGCUGGACUGACGCCUGAUUUCUUUGGAGAAAGUGCCAUCCUGUGGCUGCCUGUGAAAUCCUUGCUGCUUCUUGCCUGGAAAGCAGAGCCAGGCAAAGCCCCUUCAGGCAGUGACAGUCCCAGUGGCACAGAUGUGCUGAUCCAGGCCACUUGCCAGCCCCCCUCUUGUUAUUUUACACAAUUGCAAGGUCUGGCUUAAUCCCAGGCUUUGGGAGUUGAAGAUGACAUUAAAAUAAACAAAUCAAAACUAA